AAGUCGUAACAAGGUUUCCGUAGGUGAACCUGCGGAAGGAUCAUUACCAAAUCCAAUACCCAACCCCUGUGAACUUGUAUUGUCUGUCUUUGGGGGGGAAACUUUUAUGUUUUCCCCCCUAUUUAAUUGAACUACUUCUGAUAUUGUUGGAAUUCUUUUAUUAAUAAAUAAUAAAGGACAACUUUUAACGGUGGAUCUCUUGGCUCGUG
rnacentral:misc_RNA from 1 species